GAUGAACGCUGGCGGCGUGCCUAAUACAUGCAAGUCGAGCGAACGGACGAGAAGCUUGCUUCUCUGAUGUUAGCGGCGGACGGGUGAGUAACACGUGGAGAACCUACCUAUAAGACUGGGAUAACUUCGGGAAACCGGAGCUAAUACCGGAUAAUAUUUUGAACCUCAUGGUUCAAAAGUGAAAGACGGUCUUGCUGUCACUUAUAGAUGGAUCCGCGCUGCAUUAGCUAGUUGGUAAGGUAACGGCUUACCAAGGCAACGAUGCAUAGCCGACCUGAGAGGGUGAUCGGCCACACUGGAACUGAGACACGGUCCAGACUCCUACGGGAGGCAGCAGUAGGGAAUCUUCCGCAAUGGGCGAAAGCCUGACGGAGCAACGCCGCGUGAGUGAUGAAGGUCUUCGGAUCGUAAAACUCUGUUAUUAGGGAAGAACAUAUGUGUAAGUAACUGUGCACAUCUUGACGGUACCUAAUCAGAAAGCCACGGCUAACUACGUG
rnacentral:rRNA from 1 species